CAUGUAGGCGGAAAAUUAAGUCAGUAGUGAAAUCCUGCAGCUUAACUGUAGAACUGUUAUUGAUACUGGUUUUCUUGAAUAUAGUUGAGGUAGGCGGAAUGUGUAAUGUAGCGGUGAAAUGCUUAGAUAUUACACAGAACACCGAUUGCGAAGGCAGCUUACUAAGCUAUGAUUGACGCUGAGGUACGAAAGCGUGGGGAGCGAACAGGAUUAGAUACCCUGGUAGUCC
rnacentral:rRNA from 1 species